rnacentral:rRNA from 1 species
GGGUGAGUACACGUGGGCAACCUGCCUCAAAGAAGGGGAAUAGCCCUCCGAAAGGAAGGAUUUAAUACCGCAUAAAGUUAAGGUUUCGCAUGAAACUUUAACCAAAGGAAGUAAUCUGCUUUGAGAUGGGCCCGCGCCCCAUUAGCUAGUUGGUAAGGUAAUGGCUUACCAAGGCGACGAUGGGUAGCCGAACCUGAGAAGGGUGAUCGGCCACAUUGGAACUGAGACACGGUCCAGACUCCUUACGGGAGGCAGCAGUGGGGAAUAUUGCGCAAUGGGGGAAAACCCUGACGCAGCAACGCCGCGUGGGUGAUGAAGGUUUUCGGA